rnacentral:lncRNA from 1 species
UCUCUUUCAUUAGCUAUCUUUUGUUUCUAUUUACAUUUUCUCUUUGGCUUAUUUUCAUUCAUGCAGGUACUCUCCCCUUCUCUUCUCUGCUAAUUAUUAUAUAUAUAUAUAAUUCUAUAUCUAUGUAUUCCAAUUUUAGUUUUUUUAUCGUUGGCCGUGUUGGUUUUGUAGGGAUAUGGGCCUCACGCCAACUUGUUUUGUGUACUUACUGGUGCUCCUUCAUUGUCAAGCUCAGCAAUGGAAGAAGCUUAGAGAUUGAAAAGAUGAACAUAUAUCUUUGCAAAACCCUUUUUCAGGUUAGUGGAAAUUUCCUUUUUCUCUUUGUUUUUGUUUUUAUAUGGUCAUGUAUACAUAUGGCUGUGCU